UACGCGGGUUAACCGCAGCAUUCUGUAAAUCGGACUUCGCUUGCAUUUGUUUGUUGUCUGUCUGACUGUAUUGACUGUAGCCGUCGGCGUCCGGUCUAUAGCGUGAAAACUCAAUUCUCAUUUCACAUUCUCAAAUUAUUUCACACUUCAAAGUCACCGUCGUAAGACAGCUCGCCAAUUGUUUUGUACGCACUCAUAAAAAUCAACAAUCGAAAAUGGUCGUGG